rnacentral:rRNA from 1 species
GAGUUUGAUCCUGGCUCAGAUUGAACGCUGGCGGCAGGCCUAACACAUGCAAGUCGAGCGGAUGACGGGAGCUUGCUCCUUGAUUCAGCGGCGGACGGGUGAGUAAUGCCUAGGAAUCUGCCUGGUAGUGGGGGACAACGUUUCGAAAGGAACGCUAAUACCGCAUACGUCCUACGGGAGAAAGCAGGGGACCUUCGGGCCUUGCGCUAUCAGAUGAGCCUAGGUCGGAUUAGCUAGUUGGUGGGGUAAUGGCUCACCAAGGCGACGAUCCGUAACUGGUCUGAGAGGAUGAUCAGUCACACUGGAACUGAGACACGGUCCAGACUCCUACGGGAGGCAGCAGUGGGGAAUAUUGGACAAUGGGCGAAAGCCUGAUCCAGCCAUGCCGCGUGUGUGAAGAAGGUCUUCGGAUUGUAAAGCACUUUAAGUUGGGAGGAAGGGCAGUAAGUUAAUACCUUGCUGUUUUGACGUUACGACAGAAUAAGCA